UACGAAGGGGGGCUAGCGUUGCUCGGAAUCACUGGGCGUAAAGCGCACGUAGGCGGCUUUUUUAAGUCAGAGGUGAAAUCCUGGAGCUCAACUCCAGAACUGCCUUUGAUACUGGAGAGCUUGAGUCCGGGAGAGGUGAGUGGAACUGCGAGUGUAGAGGUGAAAUUCGUAGAUAUUCGCAAGAACACCAGUGGCGAAGGCGGCUCACUGGCCCGGUACUGACGCUGAGGUGCGAAAGCGUGGGGAGCAA
rnacentral:rRNA from 1 species